GAUGAACGCUGGCGGCGUGCCUAAUACAUGCAAGUCGAGCGAACAGAUGAGGAGCUUGCUCCUCUGACGUUAGCGGCGGACGGGUGAGUAACACGUGGAUAACCUACCUAUAAGACUGGGAUAACUUCGGGAAACCGGAGCUAAUACCGGAUAAUAUAUUGAACCGCAUGGUUCAAUAGUGAAAGACGGUUUUGCUGUCACUUAUAGAUGGAUCCGCGCCGCAUUAGCUAGUUGGUAAGGUAACGGCUUACCAAGGCAACGAUGCGUAGCCGACCUGAGAGGGUGAUCGGCCACACUGGAACUGAGACACGGUCCAGACUCCUACGGGAGGCAGCAGUAGGGAAUCUUCCACAAUGGGCGAAAGCCUGACGGAGCAACGCCGCGUGAGUGAUGAAGGUCUUCGGGUCGUAAAACUCUGUUAUUAGGGAAGAACAAAUGUGUGAGAAACUAUGCACGUCUUGACGGUACCUAAUCAGAAAGCAACGGCUAACUACGUG
rnacentral:rRNA from 1 species